AUUGGACGCUGGCGGCAUGCCUUACACAUGCAAGUCGAACGGUAACAGGUCUUCGGAUGCUGACGAGUGGCGAACGGGUGAGUAAUACAUCGGAACGUGCCCGAGAGUGGGGGAUAACGAGGCGAAAGCUUUGCUAAUACCGCAUACGAUCUCAGGAUGAAAGCAGGGGACCGCAAGGCCUUGCGCCCACGGAGCGGCCGAUGGCAGAUUAGGUAGUUGGUGGGAUAAAAGCUUACCAAGCCGACGAUCUGUAGCUGGUCUGAGAGGACGACCAGCCACACUGGGACUGAGACACGGCCCAGACUCCUACGGGAGGCAGCAGUGGGGAAUUUUGGACAAUGGGCGCAAACCUGAUCCAGCCAUGCCGCGUGCAGGAUGAAGGCCUUCGGGUUGUAAACUGCUUUUGUACGGAACGAAAAGACUCUGGUUAAUACCUGGGGUCCAUGACGGUACCGUAAGAAUAAGCACCGGCUAACUACGUGCCAGCCGCCGCGGUAAAAC
rnacentral:rRNA from 1 species